GAGAUCUCUCACGACGGGAAAGGCCACGGAGGAGGAGGACGAGAAGAAGAGGAAGGGAGAGGAGAGGGGAAGCAGAGCCCCUCACCCUGACCCUAUCUUCUCCUGUUCUCCGUCUAUUUUGUUGGUCGGCAUGGGGGACUUGGAGAGGAAGGUGAAGGAGAAGGCGAGGGAGGUGAAGCUUUAUCUCAAGUCCAAGGAGUUCAAGCGUUUCCUGAAGAAGGCAAAGAAGGUGGUGGGGAAGACAUGCAAGAUGGGCUGGAAAAAGGUCCAAAAGCACUCCAACUGAUGGCCUUCUGCAUUGUUCGCUAGAGCUCUCCCUUCCUGCAUUUAUUUUGAAGGUUCUGGUCAUGGGGCUCUGCAGUGCUGCUAGUCUCUCUUUCUUUCAUUGGUCAGAUUAAUCUCUGUCGAUGCUUAUUAAGAGCACCAACAAUGUUAGAAAUAACAGCAGCUAUUAUCUUCAUUUUAUCGAGGGCCUUGAUUUUUCUUUCAAUUAUCUAGAAAGAUUAUGUUUGCUCUUUCCAGGGUCAUGCAAAAAAAUUUGUCUCAUCAAUGCAGGCAGAAAUAUAUUAUCUGCCCUAAGUGUCUUAUGAACUGAUGCGAUGCAAUAAUUAUAUCAUCAAUGUUUCUAAAUUCCUAUGAAAUAUAAA